GAUGAACGCUGGCGGCGUGCCUAAUACAUGCAAGUCGAGCGAACGGACGAGAAGCUUGCUUCUCUGAUGUUAGCGGCGGACGGGUGAGUAACACGUGGAUAACCUACCUAUAAGACUGGGAUAACUUCGGGAAACCGGAGCUAAUACCGGAUAAUAUUUUGAACCGCAUGGUUCAAAAGUGAAAGACGGUCUUGCUGUCACUUAUAGAUGGAUCCGCGCUGCAUUAGCUAGUUGGUAAGGUAACGGCUUACCAAGGCAACGAUGCAUAGCCGACCUGAGAGGGUGAUCGGCCACACUGGAACUGAGACACGGUCCAGACUCCUACGGGAGGCAGCAGUAGGGAAUCUUCCGCAAUGGGCGAAAGCCUGACGGAGCAACGCCGCGUGAGUGAUGAAGGUCUUCGGAUCGUAAAACUCUGUUAUUAGGGAAGAACAUAUGUGUAAGUAACUGUGCACAUCUUGACGGUACCUAAUCAGAAAGCCACGGCUAACUACGUGCCAGCAGCCGCGGUAAUACGUAGGUGGCAAGCGUUAUCCGGAAUUAUUGGGCGUAAAGCGCGCGUAGGCGGUUUUUUAAGUCUGAUGUGAAAGCCCACGGCUCACCCGUGGAGGGUCAUUGGAAACUGGAAAACUUGAGUGCAGAAGAGGAAAGUGGAAUUCCAUGUGUAGCGGUGAAAUGCGCAGAGAUAUGGAGGAACACCAGUGGCGAAGGCGACUUUCUGGUCUGUAACUGACGCUGAUGUGCGAAAGCGUGGGGAUCAAACAGGAUUAGAUACCCUGGUAGUCCACGCCGUAAACGAUGAGUGCUAAGUGUUAGGGGGUUUCCGCCCCUUAGUGCUGCAGCUAACGCAUUAAGCACUCCGCCUGGGGAGUACGACCGCAAGGUUGAAACUCAAAGGAAUUGACGGGGACCCGCACAAGCGGUGGAGCAUGUGGUUUAAUUCGAAGCAACGCGAAGAACCUUACCAAAUCUUGACAUCCUUUGACAACUCUAGAGAUAGAGCUUUCCCCUUCGGGGGACAAAGUGACAGGUGGUGCAUGGUUGUCGUCAGCUCGUGUCGUGAGAUGUUGGGUUAAGUCCCGCAACGAGCGCAACCCUUAAGCUUAGUUGCCAUCAUUAAGUUGGGCACUCUAAGUUGACUGCCGGUGACAAACCGGAGGAAGGUGGGGAUGACGUCAAAUCAUCAUGCCCCUUAUGAUUUGGGCUACACACGUGCUACAAUGGACAAUACAAAGGGCAGCGAAACCGCGAGGUCAAGCAAAUCCCAUAAAGUUGUUCUCAGUUCGGAUUGUAGUCUGCAACUCGACUACAUGAAGCUGGAAUCGCUAGUAAUCGUAGAUCAGCAUGCUACGGUGAAUACGUUCCCGGGUCU
rnacentral:rRNA from 1 species